rnacentral:rRNA from 1 species
AACGAUAGCUAAUACCGCAUAACAAUGGAUGACACAUGUCAUUUAUUUGAAAGGGGCAAUUGCUCCACUACAAGAUGGACCUGCGUUGUAUUAGCUAGUAGGUGAGGUAACGGCUCACCUAGGCGACGAUACAUAGCCGACCUGAGAGGGUGAUCGGCCACACUGGGACUGAGACACGGCCCAGACUCCUACGGGAGGCAGCAGUAGGGAAUCUUCGGCAAUGGGGGCAACCCUGACCGAGCAACGCCGCGUGAGUGAAGAAGGUUUUCGGAUCGUAAAGCUCUGUUGUAAGUCAAGAACGAGUGUGAGAGUGGAAAGUUCACACUGUGACGGUAGCUUACCAGAAAGGGACGGCUAACUACGUGCCAGCAGCCGCGGUAAUACGUAGGUCCCGAGCGUUGUCCGGAUUUAUUGGGCGUAAAGCGAGCGCAGGCGGUUUGAUAAGUCUGAAGUUAAAGGCUGUGGCUCAACCAUAGUUCGCUUUGGAAACUGUCAAACUUGAGUGCAGAAGGGGAGAGUGGAAUUCCAUGUGUAGCGGUGAAAUGCGUAGAUAUAUGGAGGAACACCGGUGGCGAAAGCGGCUCUCUGGUCUGUAACUGACGCUGAGGCUCGAAAGCGUGGGGAGCGAACAGGAUUAGAUACCCUGGUAGUCCACGCCGUAAACGAUGAGUGCUAG